GGCUCCGCUCUCCAUUUUCAAACAAGAUAGCGUCGGUUCAAGAAGGUGAAAGUUGAAAGGUUCUAUUAUUACUUUGUUCAACGAACCAUGUAUGCCCUUAUGGAGUGGAUAGAGGAAGAAAAGGUCAGCAUCAUAACCAUAUCACGCAUCAAAGAUCCAAGAAAGGAGUUUUGCCAGUAUAAAGUUGGGGAUUUGGUGAAAGCCAGCUGCCAUGGCUUUUCUGGCGUGCAUCCCGCCAAGAUCUUAGAUGAUGGAGCUGAUGCCUGGUAGUGGGAUCUACAUUUAUCCCAAAGAUAUACAAGCUUUAUAUAAGCCAAAAAAAAAACCAACAAGUGGAACUUUUCAGGAAGGGGAACCUAACUGGUGCAAAUGAAAAGACCAUUUUAAACACUAUUCCUGACGAUGCCGGGAUUCAGAGGCCAUUGUCAAGUUUUCGAUGAGGACCAAGAUUAGUUCCCAAGUCAGCCUCCAGAACAUGAAACAGACCUAGCUUUUAUACAUUCAGUAAUGUGAGAUAGAUAUAUAUAUAUAUAUAUAUAUAUAUAUAUAUAUAUAUAUAUAUAUGGGAUUCCCUUCAUAAGGGAUUGUCCAAUUUUUAAUGUGAUAAUAUGUACAAAGAGUUAGUGAUGAAUAUUUUAUUUAUAUUUUUGUGCCAAACUUUAUAAAUGAUUGAUUGUUUGAUGUUUUCCGCCACGCUCAACAAUUUUUCAGUUAUCUGGUGGCACCCAGUUUUUAUUGGUGGAAGAGAGAACCCAGAUACAAUGUACCUUGGAAGAGACCACCGACCUUCCGAAAGUAAACUGGGAAACUUUCUCACUUACCGGCGCGAGCGGGAUUCGAACCCGCGCCGACAGAGGUGAGAGGCCAUGUGAUUUGGAGGGCGAUGCUCUAACCACUCGGCCACCUUUAUAAAUGAAAUUAAUAUACCAAUAAUAGUCGCUGUUUAUAAUCGGUAAUGUCUUAUUAUCCCCAUCUUUUUUGUAACUUUUCCAUAACUUUUGUCGGGUAUAACUUUUUUGUAACUUUUCCAUAACUUUUGUCGGGUAUAACUUUUAUGUAACUUUCUCCAUAACUUUUGUUGGGUAUAACUUUUUUGUAACUUUUCCAUAACUUUUGUCGGGUAUAACUUUUUUGUAACUUUUCCAUAACUUUUGUCGGGUAUAACUUUUAUGUAACUUUCUCCAUAACUUGUGUUGGGUAUAACUUUUUUGUAACUUUUCCAUAACUUUUGUCAGGUAUAACUUUUUUGUAACUUUUCCACAAUUUUUGUUGGGUAUAACUUUUUUGUAACUUUUCCAUAACUUAAGUAUAACUUUUUGAUAACUUUUGUGAAGUAUAACUUUUUUGAAGUAUAACUUUUUGAUAACUUUUAUGCACUUGUUGUAUUCAUGUUGAAAUAAAAGAUGAUAACUUA